rnacentral:rRNA from 1 species
GAUGAACGCUAGCGGCAGGCCUAACACAUGCAAGUCGAGGGGUAGCAGGAUUAAGCUUGCUUAAUUGCUGACGACCGGCGCACGGGUGCGUAACGCGUAUGCAACCUACCUUAUACUGGGGUAUAGCCCGGAGAAAUUCGGAUUAAUCCCCCAUAGUACUAAUGAAUCGCAUGGUUUAUUAGUUAAAGCAUUGCGGUAUAAGAUGGGCAUGCGUCCUAUUAGCUAGAUGGUGAGGUAACGGCUCACCAUGGCUACGAUAGGUAGGGGGCCUGAGAGGGUGGGCCCCCACACUGGUACUGAGAAACGGACCAGACUCCUACGGGAGGCAGCAGUGAGGAAUAUUGGUCAAUGGGCGCAAGCCUGAACCAGCCAUGCCGCGUGCAGGAAGAAUGCCCUAUGGGUUGUAAACUGCUUUUAUUUGGGAAUAAACCUCUUUACGUGUAGAGAGCUGAAGGUACCAAAUGAAUAAGCACCGGCUAACUCCGUGCCAGCAGCCGCAGUAA